CCAGACUCCUACGGGAGGCAGCAGUAGGGAAUAUUGCACAAUGGGGGGAACCCUGAUGCAGCGACGCCGCGUGGGUGAAGGAGUGCUUCGGCAUGUAAAGCCCUGUCGGCAGGGAAGAAGCAAGACGGUACCUGACUAAGAAGCACCGGCUAAAUACGUGCCAGCAGCCGCGGUAAUACGUAUGGUGCAAGCGUUAUCCGGAUUUACUGGGCGUAAAGGGAGCGCAGGCGGCGCGCCAAGCCUGAUGUGAAACCCCGGGGCUCAACCCCGGGCAUGCAUUGGAAACUGGCGGGCUGGAGUGCCGGAGAGGUAAGCGGAAUUCCUAGUGUAGCGGUGAAAUGCGUAGAUAUUAGGAGGAACACCAGUGGCGAAGGCGGCUUACUGGACUGUAACUGACGUUGAGGCUCGAAAGCGUGGGGAGCAAACAGGAUUAGAUACCCGGGUACG
rnacentral:rRNA from 1 species